UUGGCCCGGGCGAUACCCACCCCUCCCACUCCCCGCCCCCUCCUUGGCAGGGUAGCUGCGCGUGCGCGGUGGCUGCGGAGAGCAACGCGUAAGGCUGACCGCUGGCGUUCUUGGUCCCCGACCGCCGGUACCCGGCAUCCUUCCUUAUCCGGGACAGCUUGGAGCCCUGGAUGACCUGAGGAGCCAGGAGUCACACUCAGACUGCACCGUGGAUCGUCCUUAUUCAGCUGUGAACGAAUCUACAGGAAAAACCUAACUGGAAUGUGCCAGGCUCUAGCCAGAGGAGACCCCAAAACUAUGAACUGCAACAGAUAACGAGCCGCUGGCUCCGACGCAUCUGCGACCAGUCUCGGGGUGCUUUAUCCACACGCUGGAUUCAUUCCAUGAUGCUGAGUGAGGAAAGCUGGAUUCUCGUCGCAGCCCGGCCACGACCAACUACUUGACCUUGGCUCCUAUGAAUGAUGUAAGGUCUAGAAUUAAUGCAGCUACGUGUGACCACAAGAAUAGAGACUAGAUUGCCAAGCAGUGGAUGAAUCCUGAGGAAGGCAGAAUGGGAAAAUGGAAAAUAAACAGAACCUCAGUUACAUCGUUGAGCAGUGAACAGCCCGAUCAAGCCACACCUGAAGCUGAUUACCCCAUACCUUCCAGUUAUAUGAGCCAAUACUUUUCCUUUGUGGUCAUUGGAGUUUAGUUUUCUGUCUAUAACAUAAAUAGUCCUAACAGUAACACAACAAUCUCUCUUGGCCUCCAUUUUGUCAUGAAUAGAAUAAAGAUAAUAUGAAUAAUCUCUAAGAAUUCUGCCAGCUCUCACAUCCUAUAAGUCUCUGAAGGGUAAAUAUAUUCACAAAAAUGAAAGUGCAUUAUCAUUGACAAGCAAGCACUAAGGACAAUAAAACUCCCUAGUUUAACCCAACAAAAGAUAGCUGAGACUAUGAAUACAAACAGAAAUCCUUAAUCUUUGGCCUAUACCAGGAGUUACUCUGAUCUCCAUCCUCUCCCCCUAUACUUCAGCCACUUGUUCCUAUACACUGAGGAUAGUUCAUGGGGGAGGGGUGGUCUGGAAAGAAGUGUAUAAGGUGGCCCUGCGUUAGAAGACUUGGGUUCUUGUUGGUGGUGCCCUUGGCCUUAGACCCCUUAUCCAGAUUCUGACCUCUUCUCUCCGAACUCUUUGACCUGAGUGCUCCCUUCUACCUUCUCUCUCUCCAGAUCUGACCUCUGAAUCCUAUAUUUCACUCACCAGCAUCCCCUCCUAUCUGCGUUCCCAACACUGCCUACCUUCGAUCAACUGGAAAUGAUGAUAUAUUAGCCAGCAACUCCAGAGCACAGAUUCGUUUAUCUGUAGCAACAGGGCCUAGAGGAAGGAGACAGGGAUGGUUAUUUAGUGGAGGAGAGUCACUUAAUAAAAGAGAUUAAGCACCUUAGGAGCCUGAAGGGUUGAGCAAAUUGUUUGAUGCACUGCACUAGCAAUUAUGUGUGAAAGGCUUCACGUACGGGAUACAGACCCCACAUAAAAUUAUGCAUUUGCACAUGCAAUUGUAAUUAACAUCCUAAUUUGAAAAAGCGCUGCUUGGGUCCCUGUGAGGUAUCGCAUUGGGACACUGGGAACCUCACCUGGAGGCACUGGGAACCUUAGGAAAAGGCAACGUGGAAAGAAUCUGGGUUGCUUCCCUGGAAAUAAAAAUGAAGAGUAUGCUACUGAUUAAGUUUGCUCUUUGUUCUGGCUUUGCGAGAUUCAUGGGAAAAGACAGAUCUUCAGCACUGUUUUGAUUGAUUCAUCUAACAUUUUGUGACCAGAUAACCUCUGCUUACAGAGAUGACUAAGACAAUGUUGCUCU